GCAGAGUUGCUGCCAAGUUCCUGCAGCAACAACAAGAAAGUGAAGGAGUGGGACCGUCCAAAUGCAGAGGCGGUGGUGAUGAUACUGGCACUGCACUGAUGGUGAUGAUCAUGAACAUAAACAAAGAACUGGCAGGAAACUUGAGUCAACUGCAGGGUAUCAUGCCGAAUGUUAUCGACACUUCUGCAACGUGACAACAAUCAAUCGAGCGAUAGCAAGAUUCCAGAAGAAGAAAGAUGCUGAGAAGACCUCAACCAAGGAACAUCUUCAAGAAGCACCCCCCAAUGAAGACGGAGAUAUCCCAGCAGGGCCAGCACCCAAGAGAAUGUUACGAUCUGGAGUAUCGUGCGGACAGCAAUCCUCUACCCCCCAGUGGUCUGACAGACGGCAUGUGCUACCAGUCCAAUGUGUCAUUUGCAAAGGGACGAAGUACUUUCGUGAACAAUCUUCGGGUAAACGAAAAGUAGAAAAAUAUGUCUUGUGUGAAAGAAAAGAUGGGGGGAAUUUGUUAACGGCUGCUUUGAUGAAGCAAGAUGAAGCUCUGUUGUUGGAUUUAAGGGGUAAGGAUCAUGUAGCGAUUGAAGUUAGAUAUCACAAAUCUUGUUAUUACAGGUACACAAAGGUGGCACUCGGUUCAAAACUUCACACAGAAA